GGGGAUAGCCUUUCGAAAGAAAGAUUAAUACCCGAUGGCAUAGUUCUUCCGCAUGGUGGAACUAUUAAAGAAUUUCGGUCAUCGAUGGGGAUGCGUUCCAUUAGGUUGUUGGCGGGGUAACGGCCCACCAAGCCUUCGAUGGAUAGGGGUUCUGAGAGGAAGGUCCCCCACAUUGGAACUGAGACACGGUCCAAACUCCUACGGGAGGCAGCAGUGAGGAAUAUUGGUCAAUGGACGAGAGUCUGAACCAGCCAAGUAGCGUGAAGGAUGACUGCCCUAUGGGUUGUAAACUUCUUUUAUACGGGAAUAAAGUGAGGCACGUGUGCCUUUUUGUAUGUACCGUAUGAAUAAGGAUCGGCUAACUCCGUGCCAGCAGCCGCGGUAAUACGGAGGAUCCGAGCGUUAUCCGGAUUUAUUGGGUUUAAAGGGAGCGUAGGCGGACGCUUAAGUCAGUUGUGAAAGUUUGCGGCUCAACCGUAAAAUUGCAGUUGAUACUGGGUGUCUUGAGUACAGUAGAGGCAGGCGGAAUUCGUGGUGUAGCGGUGAAAUGCUUAGAUAUCACGAAGAACUCCGAUUGCGAAGGCAGCUUGCUGGACUGUAACUGACGCUGAUGCUCGAAAGUGU
rnacentral:rRNA from 1 species